CUGCAGUCGUGGGGCAGCGCAGUGUAGCAAUACAUGGGCGGCGACCGGCAAACGGGUGCGGAACACGUACACAACCUUCCUACAAGUGGGGAAUAGCCCAGAGAAAUUUGGAUUAAUACCCCGUAACAUAUAAAGAUGGCAUCAUUUUUAUAUUAUAGCUACGGCGCUUGUUGAUGGGUGUGCGGCUGAUUAGGUAGUUGGCGGGGUAAUGGCCCACCAAGCCUGCGAUCAGUAGCUGAUGUGAGAGCACGAUCAGCCACACGGGCACUGAGACACGGGCCCGACUCCUACGGGAGGCAGCAGUAAGGAAUAUUGGACAAUGGGCGCAAGCCUGAUCCAGCCAUGCCGCGUGAAGGAUUAAGGUCCUCUGGAUUGUAAACUUCUUUUAUAAGGGACGAAAAAAGGGAAUUCUUUCUCACUUGACGGUACCUUAUGAAUAAGCACCGGCUAACUCCGUGCCAGCAGCCGCGGUAAUACGGAGGGUGCAAGCGUUAUCGGAUUACUGGUUAAGGG
rnacentral:rRNA from 1 species